rnacentral:rRNA from 1 species
AUUGAACGCUGGCGGCAGGCCUAACACAUGCAAGUCGAACGAGUGGCGGACGGGUGAGUAAUGUCUGGGAAACUGCCUGAUGGAGGGGGAUAACUACUGGAAACGGUAGCUAAUACCGCAUACCAUCAGAUGUGCCCAGAUGGGAUUAGAUAGUUGGUGGGGUAACGGCUCACCAAGGCGACGCUCCCUAGCUGGUCUGAGAGGAUGACCAACAACACGGGAACGGAGACACGGUCGAGACUCCUACGGGAGGCGGCAGUGGUGAAGAUUGCACAAUGGGCGCAAGCCUGAUGCAGCCAUGCCGCGUGUAUGAAGAAGGCCUUCGGGUUGUAAAGUACGUUCAGCGGGGAGGCGUUACCCGAAGAAGAAGCACCGGCUAACUCCGUGCCAGCCGCCGCGGUAAUUC